rnacentral:rRNA from 1 species
AUACGGAGGGUGCAAGCGUUGUUCGGAAUUACUGGGCGUAAAGCGCGUGUAGGCGGACCGGUAAGUUGGGAGUGAAAGCCCUGGGCUCAACCCAGGAAGUGCUUCCAAUACUGCCGGCCUUGAGUUCCGGAGAGGGUGGUGGAAUUCCCGGUGUAGAGGUGAAAUUCGUAGAUAUCGGGAGGAACACCAGUGGCGAAGGCGACCACCUGGACGAGAACUGACGCUGAGACGCGAAAGCGUGGGGAGC